rnacentral:lncRNA from 1 species
GUUCGAUGAUCAACUUAAAAAUUAUACAAAUGAACAAUUUUCUAGUUUAGAUAGCGUAAAAAAAAAAUCUAAUUUAGAUUAAAUUGGUGGUCUUUCUAAAAUAUUGAUAGAAACUAGAUAGCAUAUUGUUUUUAUCUAAUGUUGUAUUUAUAUCCAACACUUUUAAAAUAUAAAGUUACUCACAAAUAUUAUAUUUCUUAGGUGCUAAGGUGUCUUCAAUUUUCAAAUAUAUAGUACUAUAAAUUUUAUAAUUUUC